GGGAGUGUUUUAAAACGACACGAGUUGCGAAUUACCUAUUCGCACAUGUAUCGUACAACGUUUUACAGUACAUAUGGCCCUUUAAAUGUUCGACACAGUAACGUAAUAUGCUACUUCUCGCACUAGUGCUAUAAAGUAGCCCCAUAUGUACUGUAAACCUAAUAAUUAUCAUGACGUCAAAUAUCAAACAUUUAUUCAGCAAGUAGGCCACAGGGGCACUUUUACAUGUCCAGUUUUACAAACAAUAAAAAUUAAAUAAAAAAAACAAUUACAAAUAUGGAAUCGAUGAAAUAAUAAAGCCUCACAUAGCCUAUGCUACUCGGGAUGACGUCAUAUCUCUAAAUCCGUUAAGGGGCUACCAGGCCAAAUUCGAUGUUUUUACGUCGAUAUAGCAAGCUUGAACGUUGUAUAAAGAAUUAACUUCUUCACACAAUAUUUUAGCUUGGUGAUUGUUCUUUAAUUAUGUCUACUGAUAUUUCAAAAAACACAGUAUCACAACAAAAUAUUUUUUCUGUGAACCCUUUUUUUUUGGGUGUUUUCUAUGUAUUUAAGUAUUAAUAAAUAUUUAUAUAUUAUAUAUAUCGUUGUCUAAGUACCCUCAACACAAGCCUUAUUGAGCUUACUGUGGGAAUUAGUCAAUUUGUGUAAUGAUGUCCUAUAAUAUUUAUUUAUUUAUUUUCUCGAGUUAAAAUCCGUAUAAACCCCCUUAUCAUGCAACGCUUAUACAUGAAACUUUAACCAAUAGUCAAUAAUUACGUACUCUUAAAUUGCCUCAACAGAUUUUUCAAUUAUAUGAAUAGUUUUUGAGAAAUCGAUACUAUAGGGGAUAUUACGCAAAACUCUGAGUAGAGCACGCCACUACCACAUUCUAAGGGCUUACCACGAAACACGAAAAUCUAAAUAUCGUUAUCUGUCUCUCUAUCACUCUAGCAUAUUCGAGUGAUAAAGAGCCCAGAUAAUGAAAUUUCGCGAUAGGUUACUUUAAACAAACCGCUUUGAUGUAUCAAUGUUAUAGUAAAAUCUUCUCAAAAAACAGUUUAAGGCACAGUAUGUAUAAGUUACUCUAUGGUUUAUGUGAUGUGAUAGUGCUGCUCUCUGGCGGCAGAACAUUGCAGUAACACUCCCUAUUCAAGCUCGUGCAUUGGCCUAACGCGGAAUGUCUGCGCGCUGCGCGGCCGUCGGACGGGGAACCUGUGGCACUCAGCGCGAUGCGCGCGCAAUUUAUUUUCUGUGAAUUGAUCGUCCGAUUUUGACUUGAGAUUUUUGAGUGAUAGGACCUUUCACACUGUUUAUAAAAAAAAAAAGUGAGUUUUAAGUGAGCGAAUAUUAAGGACGCAAUAAUUUGUUUGCUUGUGCAAAUUUAAGUUGUCAAGGUGAAGAACGAGGAAGGGGGGGUCAAGGGAAUUAGGACGCACAAGGUCAUUCAGAUAGGGAUUCAGAGGAAUUAUUAAAGGCAUUUAUGAAUUUUUGAAUUUAACUUAAUUUAAUUGAUUAUCAUCCAUAUUUAUUUACUUUAUUGACAUACUUAAUAUUAUAUAAUCGAAUUUGCUUUUUGUUUUUGUAAGGUUGACAUGUAAUUUUCAUAGUGUAAGUGUGACAUAGCAUGUAUAAUAAUUAUAAUAUCAUUGCUUAUAAGCGCCUUGGUUUAUUAGACUGUAAGCUUAUUUGUGAAUAAAAUCGAAUA